rnacentral:rRNA from 1 species
ACUCCUACGGGAGGCAGCAGUGGGGAAUAUUGGACAAUGGGCGCAAGCCUGAUCCAGCCAUGCCGCGUGAGUGAUGAAGGCCCUAGGGUUGUAAAGCUCUUUCACCGGUGAAGAUAAUGACGGUAACCGGAGAAGAAGCCCCGGCUAACUUCGUGCCAGCAGCCGCGGUAAUACGAAGGGGGCUAGCGUUGUUCGGAUUUACUGGGCGUAAAGCGCACGUAGGCGGACUAUUAAGUCAGGGGUGAAAUCCCGGGGCUCAACCCCGGAACUGCCUUUGAUACUGGUAGUCUUGAGUUCGAGAGAGGUGAGUGGAAUUCCGAGUGUAGAGGUGAAAUUCGUAGAUAUUCGGAGGAACACCAGUGGCGAAGGCGGCUCACUGGCUCGAUACUGACGCUGAGGUGCGAAAGCGUGGGGAGCAAAUAGGAUUAGAAACCCUGGUAGUCCCAC